AUGGCCUGGACUCCUCUGCUCCUCGCGCUCCUCUCUCACUGCACAGGGUCCUGGGCCCAGUUUGUGCUGACUCAGCCCCGCUCUGUGUCGGGGUCUCCGGGACAGAAGGCCGUCAUCUCCUGCACCCGCAGCAGCGGCAGCAUUGGGGGAGACUAUGUGCACUGGUACCAGCAGCGCCCGGGCAGUGCCCCCACCACCGUGAUCUAUGGAGAUGACAAAAGACCCUCGGGGGUCCCCGAUCGGAUCUCGGGCUCCAUCGACAGCUCCUCCAAUGCCGCCCACCUGACCAUCUCGGGGCUGCAGCCCGAGGACGAGGCCGACUACUACUGUCAGUCCUACCGUUAUGAUGGUGGCUACAAUAAGCACAGUGAUUCAGACUCAUGGGGAAGUGAGACAAAAACCCCCAGAGCCUCCAUCCUGGGGCUGCCCUCACCUGCCCCGCCAGGGGGCGCUCUCUGCUGCCUCCUGCUGGACGGUCUGUGUUGA